rnacentral:rRNA from 1 species
AUUGAACGCUGGCGGCAGGCCUAACACAUGCAAGUCGAACGAGUGGCGGACGGGUGAGUAAUGUCUGGGAAACUGCCUGACGGAGGGGGAUAACUACUGGAAACGGUAGCUAAUACCACAUACCAUCAGAUGUGCCCAGAUGGGAUUAGCUAGUUGGUGGGGUAACGGCUCACCAAGGCGACGAUCCCUAGCUGGUCUGAGAGGAUGACCAGUCACACUGGAACUUGGACACGGUUCAGACUCCUACGGGAGGCAGCAGUGGGGAAUAUUUCACAAUGGGCGCAAGCCUGAUUCAGCCAUGCCGAGUGUAUGAAGAAGGCGUUCGGGUUGUAAAGUACUUUCAGCGGGGAGGCGUUACCCGAAGAAGAAGCACCGGCUAACUCCGUGCCAGCAGCCGCGGUAAUAC